GGGGUUGAGAUAUCGUUGGGAGUUAGGUAAGGGUUGCAUGUAUAAUCCACCUUUCUCAUUCCUUCCUCAUUUCUUGCAAUAAAAUUUAAUAGAUCAUCGUUGACCUGUGUCAAAUUAAAAAAAAUAUUAUUACUUCAUCUCGAAUAAAAUAAUCCAAUAAAAGCUAGUCUACAAAAAAAAAAAAAAUCUAACAGUAUAUGCAUUUUCAACAAUACAAUAUAACUUUUUAACACAAUUUAUAUAAAUAAUUACAUUUUAAGUAAUAAAUAGUUAGAAAAUUUUCUGUAGCAACACUAGAAAAUUAAAAUUCUUCCAAAAUUUGUCUACUUAUACCACUG
rnacentral:lncRNA from 1 species